rnacentral:rRNA from 1 species
UACAGAGGUGGCAAGCGUUGUUCGGAAUUACUGGGCGUAAAGGGCGCGUAGGCGGUCUUGCAAGUCCCGUGUGAAAUCCCUCGGCUCAACUGAGGAAUGGCACGGGAAACUGCUUGGCUUGAGUUCGGGAGAGGGAAGCGGAAUUCCGGGUGUAGCGGUGAAAUGCGUAGAUAUCCGGAGGAACACCGGUGGCGAAGGCGGCUUCCUGGACCGACACUGACGCUGAGGCGCGAAAGCCAGGGGAGCAAACGGG